rnacentral:rRNA from 1 species
UGGAUUAGUGGCGAACGGGUGAGUAACACGUGAGUAACCUGCCCUUAACUCUGGGAUAAGCCUGGGAAACUGGGUCUAAUACCGGAUAGGAGCGCCUACCGCAUGGUGGGUGUUGGAAAGAUUUAUCGGUUUUGGAUGGACUCGCGGCCUAUCAGCUUGUUGGUGAGGUAAUGGCUCACCAAGGCGACGACGGGUAGCCGGCCUGAGAGGGUGACCGGCCACACUGGGACUGAGACACGGCCCAGACUCCUACGGGAGGCAGCAGUGGGGAAUAUUGCACAAUGGGCGCAAGCCUGAUGCAGCGACGCCGCGUGAGGGAUGACGGCCUUCGGGUUGUAAACCUCUUUCAGUAGGGAAGAAGCGAAAGUGACGGUACCUGCAGAAGAAGCACCGGCUAACUACGUGCCAGCAGCCGCGGUAAUACGUAGGGUGCGAGCGUUAUCCGGAAUUAUUGGGCGUAAAGAGCUCGUAGGCGGUUUGUCGCGUCUGUCGUGAAAGUCCGGGGCUUAACCCCGGAUCUGCGGUGGGUACGGGCAGACUAGAGUGCAGUAGGGGAGACUGGAAUUCCUGGUGUAGCGGUGGAAUGCGCAGAUAUCAGGAGGAACACCGAUGGCGAAGGCAGGUCUCUGGGCUGUAACUGACGCUGAGGAGCGAAAGCAUGGGGGAGCGAACAGGAUUAGAUACCCUGGUAGUCCAUGCCGUAAACGUUGGGCACUAGGUGUGGGGACCAUUCCACGGUUUCCGCGCCGCAGCUAACGCAUUAAGUGCCCCGCCUGGGGAGUACGGCCGCAAGGCUAAAACUCAAAGGAAUUGACGGGGGCCCGCACAAGCGGCGGAGCAUGCGGAUUAAUUCGAUGCAACGCGAAGAACCUUACCAAGGCUUGACAUGUUCUCGAUCGCCGUAGAGAUACGGUUUCCCCUUUGGGGCGGGUUCACAGGUGGUGCAUGGUUGUCGUCAGCUCGUGUCGUGAGAUGUUGGGUUAAGUCCCGCAACGAGCGCAACCCUCGUUCCAUGUUGCCAGCACGUAAUGGUGGGGACUCAUGGGAGACUGCCGGGGUCAACUCGGAGGAAGGUGAGGACGACGUCAAAUCAUCAUGCCCCUUAUGUCUUGGGCUUCACGCAUGCUACAAUGGCCGGUACAAUGGGUUGCGAUACUGUGAGGUGGAGCUAAUCCCAAAAAGCCGGUCUCAGUUCGGAUUGGGGUCUGCAACUCGACCCCAUGAAGUCGGAGUCGCUAGUAAUCGCAGAUCAGCAACGCUGCGGUGAAUACGUUCCCGGGCCUUGUACACACCGCCCGUCAAGUCACGAAAGUCGGUAACACCCGAAGCCGGUGGCCUAACCCUUGUGGGGGGAGCCGUCGAAGGU